AAAAAAGACAAAGGGACUAGAUUGAGACAUCUUACCUCGCAACAUUCAUCAUUGAGGUGAUAAAGAAAAAAGGCGAGAUGACGAGGACGAUGAGACUGAACACAUCGUCUUUCAAUGUUUCUUUAUACAUGAUCGAGACAUACACGUAGAGUCAUUGCGCGCAUCUUCUUCCCCACACGUACUCCGCGAUAUGGAGCCUGCACCGGAAAGACCCCGCGUGGCCCGUGGGCGAGCACAUGCACCGCCUCAUCACGCCGCCCCUGCUGCCGGCCUCAGGUGCCGCCUCCCUAGCCAGCACACCUGCCUCCGCUGUCGAACUGAUGCCCGUCACCGGCGAGACCUGCCAUCUCGAAGGCCGAGCCGGGUCCCCGAGGGAGGAAACUGGAACGUUCGGGUGGCACAUAUUGGCAACGCAAAGCCCUAGCAGCCAACGGGCCAGCAAAGAAUCUCUGUUGUUAUAUGGGAGGGGAGGGGGGUGGAGAAAGGGGAUCGGAAAGAAACGAAUAUGUGCAGUUGCGGAAUGAUGUAGCGGCAGAAGAAAGCGAAUGAGAAUGGGUGCUAGGUAAAGUUUCGGAAUCAAGUGCUUUAGUUUCGUCCAUCUUCUCCUUUGAUUCCCGGGAGAAUUCUGCCGCUUUCUAUUGGCUUUUCAACGAAGGGUUGUGAGAGGCCAGCGAGUCACAUCUAAGGACGCGAUGCUCGCCCAAGAACAACUUGAUCAAACGCAUCUCAGUUUUUGCCUUGACUUGAAAGAUCUUAGUUCGAACACUUGAGGUAGUGAGCGCCCACCAUCUUCGGCCAAGUGCUCCUAUGCGAGGUCGAUUUCUGUGGCCGACGAUUUUGUACAAAGAUUCGUUUUAAUAUGAGGCCUAAAUAUGAACCGGAGUUAAGGUUCGCAUCACAUGGUAGUCGUGUCGAUUGGUUUUUACUUCAUGCUUCGAAAUUUGGAUACCGUGCAUUGUUAACUCGCCGAGGUUUGAUGUCCCUGAUCGCUAAUGGGCAGCUCAGUGGACCAAAAACCACUUCUCGAGAGAAUGUUUUUAGUCUUCCCGACAUUCGAAUGGUGCCAAACUGAAGGAUCAAAGGACAACGAUUCCUGGUUUGAACUAGUUUUCGGCACAAGCAACUUAAAUGGGUGAUGGGUUCUCUCCCAAACGCAAUCCUUAAAACCUGAGUUCAGUUCCUCCUUUCGGGUAUUUCCGAUUCUGAUCGGACUCAAAACUUCGAUAAAACGACGACAACGGGAGUAUUCCCGAAUCUCUCGAUUCACACGGCUGAAAUACAUAGAGAUCAGCGCAGCUCAGCAGCCGUCCGCUUACGACAUUUGUACGACACCACCAUCUCCAGAACACCCAAGAAAACAUUGCCCUUUUUCGUCGAAAAACCAAACCCGAAAUUGGCUUCGACCACUUACCUUGUCUCGAUCGGGCUAUUCGCAAUGAAACGAAGGCGAAGUUAAGGUGGGUUCCGUCCGUUCUCAGCUGAAAUUCCACCCCAUCUGGAAUCUUCUGAUGCGGAAAUGGUUAUGGGAUUGCCUGUCCCGUCACGACUUCCUAAUGAGUUUGUUCGAUCCACGAGAGACGCUCGACCUGUUCUAGAACCUGGAGAAACGCGAGGGAAGGUUCGAGGUUUUGCCGAACGGAACUCUCGAGGAAGACGCGGGUUGAAAUGUUGACCAGAAUAAACAAAAGCUGAAGAGUCGCUCGGUUCCCACCAUCGGUCAAAAUCGAAACGCCAAUUCGCCACGAGGCAGCCCAGGAGUCGCCAUCGUCUCCCCAGGGGGCCGUGCCCGAGUCAAAGAAUAGAAGCCGCCAUCUCCGCCACCGCUAGUCAAAAAUUGAAAACUCAGCGUUCCCGACGUGUUUCUUCUCUCUCUCUCUCGACUUUCCAGGAAAAUGCAAAUUGACCCACCCUGCUCGCAUUCAUAUAAGGCCCUUUCAAGAUCCUGAACCGGCGUCCACGCAAAUCCUCCCAUCCCACCACUCUCUUUUUCCCCGUUUCGCUUCUCAGUUCCGAUCUCCGUCCAGGUCUCGCGAUUCUUCUGCUUUUGGAGCGUUUUUUUUCGCAAAGAUGAACGCGGUGAGAUCGUGCUUCAUACCAGUCAUCGUCGGGUUCAUGUUCUUGACCCUUCUUCAGCUCGGCUACGGACAGUCCAUGGUCCCGUCGCCCGCGCCGGAAGGUCCUUCCAACGAUGGGAAGGCGAUUGAUCAAGGAAUUGCAUACACCCUCCUGUUAGUUGCCCUUGCGGUCACAUAUCUCUUUCACUAGCUCCUCUUAGGUGCGGCCAUUCAUUCGAUCUGACCAUCCGAGCCGAUUCUUUGGGUUGGUUUCUUCCCCUGCGAUGGACGGACCUCCAUUAGGUCCAAUUCGCAGCGUGUUGUAACCCAUUUUGGGGGUGCUCUGUAGUCCUUGUAAUUAAAGCUAUGUCUUUUGAGAAAUUAAAUUAUCGAGCCAUUUUUUGCUAA